rnacentral:misc_RNA from 1 species
ACAGACUCGAAAAAAAUAUAUAAAUCUAAAAUAUAUACUCAACAAUUUGUAUUGACAAUUGGAAUAGAUAUGUAAUAUGCCAGAAUUCAUUGCAGAUGAUUGUAGAAGGAUAUCAUACUUCCGGACAAAAUCUUUGAUUUCUAUUUUGUACAAGAAACAUUAAACAAGAUUGCUUCCGGGUGGCCCUGGAAAACAGAAAAUCAGCUCACCAACAGUUCUCUUUGCAACUCCAAAAAUCCAGUGUUCUUCCUUCACCAGGCGAACAGCUUCUUCUUCUUCUUCUUUUUCUCAAUGUAAGCCACGAGCUCCUCUUGUCGAGCAAAUGAGUCCUCCAGAGCCUGAACAAGGAAGAGUAAUUGAAGGAAAUCAGAAAAAGUUCUAUUCAAGUAUUUCAGUUUUCUAGUUCUGUUUUUAUAUCGUUAAGAAUUGUAUCUAGUACUCUAGAGAGAAGCAGCAGUUACUGAUUGCAAGGGUAGAGCAAUAUCAGAUAAAAGAAAUAUAAAUACUUUCCCUUCUCCUUCAAAUUUGUGACGGCAUUAAUUCAAUUUGGAAGGCUUGAGAAACAAUUAAAUAGAGAAUGAGGCAAAAUAAAAGGAUAACUGUUACACCAAACAGAAACACAGGUCUUGGUUGUUAGUAACAAGUUAAUGCUCUCGAAAAAUCAUAAAGUAAUAAACGUUUUAAGAAAAUUGUUGCAGACAGCAAGUUAAUGUUAUAUGUAAUAAUAUAAUGUUGGUUGCAACUAUGCCAACUUGAGUUUCUGCCACUGCUGAGUUCAAUCCGACACAUAAGAAAUUCAUGGAAACAAGUACCUUCUUGGUUGCCAUAAGCUCUUGCUCUAAGGUAUCAACCCUGCUUAUAGCAGCAUUCAACAUCUCCUCCUUCUCAAGUGUCAUAGCAGGUUUCAUGCUCAGAACUUUCACUCUCUCUUCCAAUUGAUCCACACGUUUGAUGACAGUCAUGUAAUCUGCACUGGAGAUAGUAGAUUCAAGUGACUGCUUUGCUCGGUCUUUAACCUCUAUCUCAUCACAAUAUACAGGACUGGAAUAGAUGGUGGCAUUGGUCAGCUUCUUGGGCAUGUUGCGUGUUACUUUAAUCAUGGUGACAAUGCCCAUAACAAAAGCCAUGACACCAGUAAAAAUUGGAGUGCCCGUUCCUUCAGGAACCUUGCAACCAUCAUACUUAGUGUAACAUUCUGCUGCUUUGGAAAUAACAUACUUAUCAUCUUCUGCCAAUUUUUCCCAAGUCAUAUCCAUAGUCUUCUCAAUUAUAGGGCCAUAGUCCUUAAACUUUGAAGAAACUUGUGCAAGGAUAGGUGCGACUUGUGAAUACUCUAAACUUGGAACAUUUGGAGCUGACACCUCCAUGGAAGAUUCAUGUCCCUUGGAGCUCACAGUCUCAUCCUCAGCAAUUGUCUUCUCCUCAGGAUUUUGAGACCCACUUUUCUUCGUGCAUUUAUGAUCACCAUUUUGAACCAUUUUCAAUAUCUCUGGGUCUUUCCAAGGGCCCUUAUCAGAACGCAUACAACCUCCUUGAUCAGCACAAGUGCAGGUACCUCCCAAAAACUCUGGCAACUCACUGGCAUCAAUGAUCUCAAGUAACUUGCUCUGAUAUUUAUUGCCAAGAACGUGAAUCUUUGCUGUAGUCUUAGGGUCAAGGAAAGACUUAAUAGUGCUCCACAGCAUUCUAAAUCCAGAACCGGCAUUGAUUAUGAACAUGCGAUUCAAGGUCUCCGGAUAGUUGUCACCGUCAAUCUUCUGAAGGCUAGUGAUAAGAUCCCUUGCUGUUUUGUUAAGACUUUUGAGGCCCACUCCUUGGACAUCCAAGAUGGUUGUACUUUGAUCAAUGUGUUUCUUUGCUGCAAGUGAACAAGCUGGAAACUUGACAUUAAAAGUUCUCUCAAACUCCUGCACAUGGUAUUUGACAUAACGGUCCAUUGUUGUAACUUGCAAUAGCUUGGUGGAAUCUACUUGGCCUAGUCUUUCAAUGUACACAGGUCUUCCUUCCUUAUCUACACCAUGAUGCCCUUGGGGAUAAUAUUGCAAGACUUCAUUGAUUUCAUUGAAUUGAAAAUCCUCCAUGACAGUGUCAGCACCGAAUUCCUUCCUCCAUUGAAUCAUGUCAGACCACAUCUGCUUUGUUUUCUCAAUAUCGAAUUUCCUUGCCCUCAAAAACCUGAGCAUCAAAUGAUAAUCAUCAUGUGCUGCGGGUAGGAGUUCCUCCAAUACAAGUACUUGGCGGAAAGCAUCAACCACCUUCAACUCCUCCGCGUCGUGGACAUCCUCAAUUUCAAUGGACAUUACUUUGCUACUUCUCCUACCCCUUCUGGUCAAAGAAUUCCUAAAUUUAUUGGAGGCAUUGAUGGCUUUUUGUUUAAAAGACUCAAUCCUUGUUUUCUUCUCAUCCCCAAGAUGCUCCAUCUCAGACGCUGUUGUGGGAGAUGGAGGACCAGAGACAGCAGCCAUCUGGUGGGAAGCGUAAAAUUGUUUGUGGUUUUAAUAGGUGACAAAGAAAAAGUGAAGCAAAAUCAAGCACUCAUGCCAGAACGCCACAACCACAGCCCUUAGUCCAGUGCCUCUGCAGGGAAAAGGGAAAGUGGAAGAUAGGAUACAAAUAAUGAGGGGGGAAAUGUGAGUGAGGCGCGCAAGAAGCGAAAGGAGUGGACAAAUUUUGGCAAUAAUAUUUGCCUCUUUGAUCUUCUUGACCGAGUCUCCAUUCCAUUUUUGCUGUUUUUAGGCAUAGCAAUUCUUACAAACAGAGAGGAAAUGCGUUCACUCCAAUUCCUAACAGCUAUUUUGCCCGUACAAUAAUCUAACGGUUUC